GAUGAACGCUGGCGGCGUGCCUAACACAUGCAAGUCGAACGCUUAAAGCACCUUCGGGUGCGUAUAAAGUGGCGAACGGACGAGUAAGAAGUACGCAACUAGCCUCUUUUAUAGGGAUAGAUAAGGGAAAGAGAGGGUAAUAACGAAUACUUAGAGAAUGCCGCAUGGAGGAGUUGUGUAGGAUGCGGUGGAGUGGGAUGGGAUCGCGGCAUGUCAGCUUGUUGGUGGGGUAAUGGCCUACCAAGGCAAUGAUGGGUAGCUGGGCUGAGAGGAUGACCGGCCAGACUGGGACUGAGACACGGCCCAGACUCCUACGGGAGGCAGCAGUGGGGAAUCUUGCACAAUGGGCGGAAGCCUGAUGCAGCGACGCCGCGUGCGGGAUGAAGGCCUUCGGGUUGUAAACCUCUUUCAGCAGGGACGAAGCGAGAGUGACGGUACGUGCAGAAGAAGCCCCGGCUAACUACGUG
rnacentral:rRNA from 1 species